rnacentral:lncRNA from 1 species
UCUACCUUUCUGCCAGGUCACAGAUAUCAACUGUGGUUUUGGCCUUUAUUUAUCAUCACAUAGCAUUCUGGCAUCCUUCCCAACCCCCAAAUAUGAGAGGAAUGAGAAGGUUACUUCGAAGGUCAUCUGUCUGAGAAGCUAUCCCUGCGACAAUGACAAGAAUCUUGAAUUUCAUCCAUAGGAGAGUACAAGGCAACUGGGGAAAACACACAUUGAGAAGCCUUGAGAAGUUGAUAUGCGUGUGUAAACCCCAAAGCCCCGAAGACUUUCCUGAAAGAGAUUCUUCCAAUCUUGAAAGAUUUGAUCAUGAGAAAAAAGGAAGCAGGUAUGUUCUGAAAAUAUUUUGAUUGUCCAGGAGUAAGAUAAUGAGAGCAUGGACCAGGAUGGAAACAAAGGAAAGGAAAGAUUCCUUCAGGAAGCCAGUGAGAAGAUGAGAAGUCCAAAAUUCCAUGGACUCUUUGAAAGUCACAAAAGUUUUUUUCCAGCCUAUGGGGGAAGACCCAAGGCAGAAGUCAAGAACUCUUCUCCGGUGAGAAGAAAUAAUAAAAGCUCUUUUAUCAAUCAACUUGACUUGGAGAGAGGAAGAAUAAAAGGAGCCUUUGAAACCACUUAAUAAGGAAAAGAUGGAUUUUACUUUUAGGAUGCAGUCAUUGCUCUUCUGUCAUUUACUGGAAGCUUUUCAUUAAAAGGCUGAUCUGACUUGGUUGUGAGUAAGCACUAUUAUUUUCCUGGAGCUUUCUGGAGACAAUGUUGAUGUCUAACUCUGGGGUGAUGCUCCUUAGUUGGUUGGGACCAAGUAAGAGGAAAAUAGGGAAUCCUGAAUGAAGAAGAAAUCUUUUGAAAAUGUGCUUUUUAUACAAGAG